UGCAGCUGACAGGAAAGCCAAAAAACACUGCAGAGUUCUCCCUAAACAGCCCCCAGUCUGACCCAGCCCAGGGUUGGAGAAAUGGCAGGGUUGCAACCCUGCAGGACCCCAGGACCUCAGGACACAUUUCUGCUAGGGAAUACCAUGACAGUGCCAAAGGGCACCGUGCUAUGGGCACUUCUGCCUAUCACUAUCUCAAAAUGUUUGCACCUGAAGUAGUAAAGGAACAAUAUGUUCUAUCUAGUCAAAUACUUUUUAAACAAAUCCCCAUGGUUUUUUUUACAUGGUAAAUAAUAAUAUUGCUUAUAAUAUUGAAACAUUUACCAAGUGCUUAUGACAGGACAAACACUGACUUAAAAAUUUUUGUAAUUACUUUUUUUUGCAGUGCUAGAAUGGAGCCCAGGGCUUUGUGCAUGCUAGACAAGCAGUCUACUACUGAGCUACAGCCCAACACUUAUUUUUACCAGCACCUCAUAUGUAUUAAUUCAUUUAAUUGUUAUAACAGUCUUAACAAUAGGUUCUGCUAUUAUGUCCUUUUUCAUUUUCAAUCUUUUUUUUUUUUUUGCUGGCAUGGAUUGAACACGGGGUUUCACACAUGCUAGGCAAAUAUUCUACCACUGAGCUAUAUCCCCAGUACUUUUUAUUUUCUUAUUUUGAAAUAAGAUCUUAUUAAGUUGCUCAGGGUGGCCUUGAACUUGUGAUCCUCUGCCUCAAACUCCCAAGUACUGAAAUUGUAAGUGUGUACCACAGUACUUGGCCAUGAUGUUCAUUUUUAUGAGGAAACAUAAGACAUGAGAAAUUAAGGCAUUUGUCCAAGGUCAAACUGGUCUUUACAGGAUUAUAUAAUGGCAUUUCCAACAUGGAAGCAGUUCUUGCCUAUUUUUCCUAUCUUUGUGUGUGUUGUGUGUGUAUGUAUAGUAGUGGGAAUUCAUAGAGCCUUUACACAUACCAGCUUGCUUCCAUUUCCUCCUUCCUCCCUUUUAUCUUUCCUUCCUUCCUUCCUUUCUUUCCCAUUUUGAAAUAAGGUCUCACUAAGUUGCUAAAUUGCUCAGGCUGAGCUUGAACUUGUGAUCCUCAUGCUUCAGCUUCCUGCAGUUUCCUGCCCAUUCUUAUUCCCUGCGAUCAGGAAGACUCAUAAUGGAUCACAGAGAAAACUACAGUAAUAGCAAAGCUGGUCAAGGGAAAUGGAGGCCUGGCUUCCUGACAAUGCACUGUAAAGGGUUCUUGGAAGAAGAGCGAAGAGGAUAAGAGUCAGGAACACAGGUAUACAGGAUGGAGCAAAGGACAAUGGGACAGGACUGAUCGACCAGUUAGAGGCUAACCUCCUCCUCCACAGAAGCAUGAAAAGCUGCCAGAGGCAAGGAGAGGAUCAGCUAAGUAAGGGAGCUCCCACCAGUAGAUUGCAUGCCUUCCUCCAGCCCAGGUGGUCCUUGCAGUGACAUGAGGCUGCCUGGCUGAAGCAACAGCCCUGAAGGAUGGACUGUGCUUUGCUCCAGGCCAGCUUUCCACUUUGAUCAGGUAGUGUGGGACCUCAAGACCAUGUGAAAUCCCUCUGUGUCCACAAACAUCCUCUUCACUUGCUUACUGAUACCUGACAUUUCCUGAAAGGAGACCAAGCCACGAAAUGUAGGGCUACAUAAGCACAUAGAGAUCAGACACACUUCAACUUGAUCUGUCGCCCCCAUCUGCUUAAAUAAACUGAUUCUAAAAACA